rnacentral:misc_RNA from 1 species
AAGACUAUAGACCUGCGGAGUACCUGCGGAGGGAUCAUUAUCGAGUUUUGAAACGGGUUGUAGCUGGCCUUCCGAGGCAUGUGCACGCCCUGCUCAUCCACUCUACACCUGUGCACUUACUGUGGGUUUCAGGAGCUUCACGGGCUUUCAUUAGUCCGGGUUGUAACUGGGCCUACGUUUACUACAAACUCUUGUAAAGUAUCAGAAUGUGUAUUGCGAUGUAACGCAUCUAUAUACAAC